rnacentral:rRNA from 1 species
GGUUAAGUGACUAAGCGUACACGGUGGAUGCCUUGGCAGUCAGAGGCGAUGAAGGACGUAUUAACUUGCGAUAAGCCCAGAUUAGGUAGUAAAAACCAUUUGAGUCUGGGAUUUCCGAAUGGGGAAACCCAAUACCAUAAGGUAUUACUGUUGAGUGAAUACAUAGCUCAACAGGGCGAACCGGGGGAACUGAAACAUCUAAGUACCCCGAGGAAAAGAAAUCAACCGAGAUUCCGAAAGUAGCGGCGAGCGAAAUUGGACUAGCCCUUAAGCUUUACACGCGUUAGACGAACAGCCUGGAAAGGCCGACGAUACAGGGUGAUAGUCCCGUAGUUGACGACGUGUGUUCAGUGAAAUCGAGUAGGGCGGGACACGUGAUAUCCUGUCUGAAUAUGGGGGGACCAUCCUCCAAGGCUAAAUACUACUGACUGACCGAUAGUGAACCAGUACCGUGAGGGAAAGGCGAAAAGAACCCCUGUGAGGGGAGUGAAAUAGAACCUGAAACCGUGUACGUACAAGCAGUAGGAGCAGGCUUUGUCCUGUGACUGCGUACCUUUUGUAUAAUGGGUCAGCGACUUAUAUUCAGUGGCAAGGUUAACCAUCUAGGGGAGCCGUAGGGAAACCGAGUCUUAACUGGGCGUUCAGUCUCUGGAUAUAGACCCGAAACCAGGUGAUCUAGCCAUGGGCAGGUUGAAGGUUGAGUAACAUCAACUGGAGGACCGAACCGACUAAUGUUGAAAAAUUAGCGGAUGACUUGUGGCUAGGGGUGAAAGGCCAAUCAAACCUGGAGAUAGCUGGUUCUCCCCGAAAGCUAUUUAGGUAGCGCCUCGGACGAAUACUACUGGGGGUAGAGCACUGUUAAGGCUAGGGGGUCAUCCCGACUUACCAACCCUUUGCAAACUCCGAAUACCAGUAAGUACUAUCCGGGAGACACACGGCGGGUGCUAACGUCCGUCGUGGAGAGGGAAACAACCCAGACCGCCAGCUAAGGUCCCAAAUUACUACUAAGUGGGAAACGAUGUGGGAAGGCUCAGACAGCCAGGAUGUUGGCUUAGAAGCAGCCAUCAUUUAAAGAAAGCGUAAUAGCUCACUGGUCGAGUCGGCCUGCGCGGAAGAUGUAACGGGGCUAAGUAGUAAACCGAAGCUGCGGCAAUGCACUUUAGUGCAUUGGGUAGGGGAGCGUUCUGUAAGCGGUUGAAGGUGUGUGGUAACGCAUGCUGGACGUAUCAGAAGUGCGAAUGCUGACAUGAGUAACGAUAAAGGGGGUGAAAAACCUCCUCGCCGGAAGACCAAGGGUUCCUGUCCAACGUUAAUCGGGGCAGGGUAAGUCGACCCCUAAGGCGAGGCCGAAAGGCGUAGUCGAUGGGAAACGGGUUAAUAUUCCCGUACUUCUUACAAUUGCGAUGGGGGGACGGAGAAGGCUAGGUGGGCCUGGCGACGGUUGUCCAGGUUCAAGUGCGUAGGCU